AGAUAAUAGAUACCCGGGUAGUCCACGCCGUAAACUAUGGAUGCUAGCUGUAAGCCGUAUCGACCCGGCUUGUAGCGAAAGCUAACGCGUUAAGCAUCCCGCCUGUGGAGUACGAGCGCAAGCUUAAAACAUAAAGGAAUUGACGGGGACCCGCACAAGCGGUGGAGCGUGUUGUUUAAUUCGAUGGUAAGCGAAGAACCUUACCCAGGCUUGACAUCCCGAGAAGGUUUCCGAAAGGAAAUUGUGCCGUAAGGAAUUCGGUGACAGGUGAUGCAUGGCCGUCGUCAGCUCGUGUCGUGAGAUGUUUGGUUAAGU
rnacentral:rRNA from 1 species